rnacentral:rRNA from 1 species
GUGGAUUAGAUACCCUAGUAGUCCACGCCGUAAACGAUGAAUACUAGGUGUGGGAGGUACCAACCUUCCGUGCCGUCGUUAACACAAUAAGUAUUCCGCCUGGGGAGUACGGUCGCAAGAUUAAAACUCAAAGGAAUUGACGGGGGCCCGCACAAGCAGCGGAGCAUGUGGUUUAAUUCGAAGCAACGCGAAGAACCUUACCUAGACUUGACAUCUCCUGAAUUACCCGUAAUGGGGGAAGCUCUUCGGAGCAGGAAGACAGGUGGUGCACGGCCGUCGACAACU